GCAGCCGCGGUAAUACGGAGGGUGCGAGCGUUAAUCGGAAUUACUGGGCGUAAAGCGCAUGCAGGUGGUUUGUUAAGUCAGAUGUGAAAGCCCGGGGCUCAACCUCGGAACUGCAUUUGAAACUGGCAAACUAGAGUACUGUAGAGGGGGGUAGAAUUUCAGGUGUAGCGGUGAAAUGCGUAGAGAUCUGAAGGAAUACCAGUGGCGAAGGCGGCCCCCUGGACAGAUACUGACACUCGGAUGCGAAAGCGUGGGGAGCAAACAGGAUUAGAUACCCUGGUAGUCCACGCCGUAAACGAUGUCUACUUGGAGGUUGUGGCCUUGAGCCGUGACUUUCGGAGCUAACGCGUUAAGUAGACCGCCUGGGGAGUACGGUCGCAAGAUUAAAACUCAAAUGAAUUGACGGGGGCCCGCACAAGCGGUGGAGCAUGUGGUUUAAUUCGAUGCGACGCGAAGAACCUUACCUACUCUUGACAUCCAGAGAACUUUCCAGAGAUGGAUUGGUGCCUUCGGGAACUCUGAGACAGGUGCUGCAUGGCUGUCGUCAGCUCGUGUUGUGAAAUGUUGGGUUAAGUCCCGCAACGAGCGCAACCCUUAUCCUUGUUUGCCAGCGAGUAAUGUCGGGAACUCCAGGGAGACUGCCGGUGAUAAACCGGAGGAAGGUGGGGACGACGUCAAGUCAUCAUGGCCCUUACGAGUAGGGCUACACACGUGCUACAAUGGCGCAUACAGAGGGCAAGCCAAACUCGCGAGAGUGAGCGAAUCCCAAAAAAGUGCGUCGUAGUCCGGAUUGGAGUCUGCAACUCGACUCCAUGAAGUCGGAAUCGCUAGUAAUCGUAGAUCAAGAAUGCUACGGUGAAUACGUUCCCGGGCCUUGCACACACCGCCCG
rnacentral:rRNA from 1 species